GAACUGACUUCAUACACUCACUAAAAAUGCCCAGUCAUACGGACCAGUUGAUUAAAAACUGUGUUCACUUAUAGUCCAUUUCUGAUGAAGUGCCUGUGCAAGUGCAGAGCUCCACCAUGAAGCUGGUUUCAGGCCAGCUGACUGAACAUUUGCUUGCUGUUUCAGGUGGAUGAAUGCGACACAGCCAAUGUGAUCCAUCGUUUUUCCUGUGGAUGUUUUCCUGAAUGCCCUGAGAGCAAGAGUGCUGAGAAGAAAGAUGCCACCGCACCAAUUAAACCACAUCAAAUUAUCUAGACUGUCCGUGAUUGGCUGCUGGAGGGAGGAUAAUGGAGUAAAGAAAUCGAAACUACAAGUGUGAAAAUGAAGGAACCGAAUACACAAGAUAGCGAC
ensembl:lncRNA